AAUGGGAUAGCUGGGUCAAAUGGUGUUUCCAUUUUCUGAGGAAUCUCCAUACUGCUUUCCAGAGUGGUUGCACCAAUUCACAGUCCAACCAGCAAU
rnacentral:pre_miRNA from 1 species